GGUGAACUGGUCGCUUGACCAGUUGGUCAGUGUUCCUUCCUUAACCUGUGAUCUGGGUAAGGUCAAGGUCACUGACAGAAAUAGCCGAAAGGAGUUUGUUCUGUGGGGCAGCUGGGCUUUGAUUAAUUUACGUCCACAUAAAUCAAUGUGAUGCACUCAUCCUGCAUUGUGUUGUAGCCAACUGUUGGUCACCAGUGAUUGCAUAAGUGUGGUCUCUGAUUGUAACUUUACUGCUAGUUGUAGUUUCAGCCAUCUGUAAACACCUCAGAGCAGAGCCCUCUUUUUCAAUUCAGUUUUCAGAAAAUGUAUAUUGCAAAGUAAAGGCCCCACAAUAAUAAAGAUAAAACAAUCAGAUGCCCUGUAUGAGCAAGCGCUUUGGCAACAGUGGUAAGGAAAAACUCCCUUUAACCUCCUAAGACCCAAAAUCUUUCAUGGCAUGAUUUAAUUUCUCUUUGCCGUUUGGGCUGAUUGGGACCUGAUGAAUGUGAAAACUAAGAAUUAUCUGAUUUUUUUUUUUUUUUAAAUAUAUACCUGAUUUUUGUUUCAGAGAAAAAUGAGAUCCACAUAUGAGGACAUUCGUUUUAAAUCUCGAUGGAACAGUGGCAGUAUAAUGUCCUCGUAAGUGGAUGUCAGGCGCUUGUAGAGCAAAAUUUGGUAUUUUGGUCGAGACAACCCAAAAUGUGUCGUCCACACAUAUGGACACCAGGUCCUAGGAGGUUAAACGGGAAGAAACCUCCAGUAAAACCAGGCAUUGGACAGUCUUGUUUCCAAAGGAGCUGUUGAGGUGGUGUUGUCUCCUAUGACAAUUAUAGAGCUCUCUAUCCAACAGUGAUAUCUAGUUGGCACCACUCCAUCUACUGAACUAGCUUGGGCUCCUUUCCUACCAAAGAUGGGAAGUUCCAGACUCCUCGGACCAGUCUACACAUCGGAAGUAGGUUCUAUCAAGCCUUUUUUUUUUUUGCCUUUGGCUGCCUGUCUGGUUAUAAAGCAAAGUGGGUCCCCUAUUGGUUGGUGGAUCCAUGGGCUAAGGCUUGACCCAGAAGUUCCCCUUCCAGGUUUGGCUCCAAAAAGGUACCUGGGGCCCCUUUUCCAGCUGCUCAAUCAUUUCAGUAACGUCUCAAAAAGCUUAGUCUAUCCUCUCGCUGGGAUCAGUUUGCCUCAGGUAAGAUCUGCUGAUUACUCUUUAUAAAUGUAUUUAAUAAUUACAAGUCUUUUAAUUCAGAGUUUUAUUUUAGCAAAUUUUCACCACAGUAACGUUACUCCAUGCAAUACUUUACAAAAGAAAAAAGGGGUAUAAGAAGCAUUUUGUGUCUCCUGUCACAUUUUCAGCGUUUACAGUUUGUUUGUUUGUUUUUUUUUAUUAAACCAAUACUAAAA
ensembl:lncRNA